rnacentral:rRNA from 1 species
UGUUUCGGCUAGGGGGCCAUCCCGGCUUACCAACCCGAUGCAAACUGCGAAUACCGGAGAAUGUUAUCACGGGAGACACACGGCGGGUGCUAACGUCCGUCGUGAAGAGGGAAACAACCCAGACCGCCAGCUAAGGUCCCAAAGUCAUGGUUAAGUGGGAAACGAUGUGGGAAGGCCCAGACAGCCAGGAUGUUGGCUUAGAAGCAGCCAUCAUUUAAAGAAAGCGUAAUAGCUCACUGGUCGAGUCGGCCUGCGCGGAAGAUGUAACGGGGCUAAACCAUGCACCGAAGCUGCGGCAGCGACGCUCAGGCGUUGUUGGGUAGGGGAGCGUUCUGUAAGCCUGUGAAGGUGGCCUGUGAGGGUUGCUGGAGGUAUCAGAAGUGCGAAUGCUGACAUAAGUAACGAUAAAGCGGGUGAAAAGCCCGCUCGCCGGAAGACCAAGGGUUCCUGUCCAACGUUAAUCGGGGCAGGGUGAGUCGACCCCUAAGGCGAGGCCGAAAGGCGUAGUCGAUGGGAAACGGGUUAAUAUUCCCGUACUUGGUGUUACUGCGAAGGGGGGACGGAGAAGGCUAUGUUGGCCGGGCGACGGUUGUCCCGGUUUAAGCGUGUAGGUGUGUGUUCCAGGUAAAUCCGGUUCACUUUAACACUGAGGCGUGACGACGAGGCACUACGGUGCUGAAGCAACAAAUGCCCUGCUUCCAGGAAAAGCCUCUAAGCAUCAGGUAACAUCAAAUCGUACCCCAAACCGACACAGGUGGUCAGGUAGAGAAUACCAAGGCGCUUGAGAGAACUCGGGUGAAGGAACUAGGCAAAAUGGUGCCGUAACUUCGGGAGAAGGCACGCUGACACGUAGGUGAAGUGAUUUACUCAUGGAGCUGAAGUCAGUCGAAGAUACCAGCUGGCUGCAACUGUUUAUUAAAAACACAGCACUGUGCAAACACGAAAGUGGACGUAUACGGUGUGACGCCUGCCCGGUGCCGGAAGGUUAAUUGAUGGGGUCAGCGCAAGCGAAGCUCCUGAUCGAAGCCCCGGUAAACGGCGGCCGUAACUAUAACGGUCCUAAGGUAGCGAAAUUCCUUGUCGGGUAAGUUCCGACCUGCACGAAUGGCGUAAUGAUGGCCAGGCUGUCUCCACCCGAGACUCAGUGAAAUUGAACUCGCUGUGAAGAUGCAGUGUACCCGCGGCAAGACGGAAAGACCCCGUGAACCUUUACUAUAGCUUGACACUGAACAUUGAGCCUUGAUGUGUAGGAUAGGUGGGAGGCUUUGAAGCGUGGACGCCAGUCUGCGUGGAGCCGACCUUGAAAUACCACCCUUUAAUGUUUGAUGUUCUAACGUGGACCCGUUACCCGGGUUGCGGACAGUGUCUGGUGGGUAGUUUGACUGGGGCGGUCUCCUCCUAAAGAGUAACGGAGGAGCACGAAGGUUGGCUAAUCCUGGUCGGACAUCAGGAGGUUAGUGCAAUGGCAUAAGCCAGCUUGACUGCGAGCGUGACGGCGCGAGCAGGUGCGAAAGCAGGUCAUAGUGAUCCGGUGGUUCUGAAUGGAAGGGCCAUCGCUCAACGGAUAAAAGGUACUCCGGGGAUAACAGGCUGAUACCGCCCAAGAGUUCAUAUCGACGGCGGUGUUUGGCACCUCGAUGUCGGCUCAUCACAUCCUGGGGCUGAAGUAGGUCCCAAGGGUAUGGCUGUUCGCCAUUUAAAGUGGUACGCGAGCUGGGUUUAGAACGUCGUGAGACAGUUCGGUCCCUAUCUGCCGUGGGCGCUGGAGAACUGAGGGGGGCUGCUCCUAGUACGAGAGGACCGGAGUGGACGCAUCACUGGUGUUCGGGUUGUCAUGCCAAUGGCACUGCCCGGUAGCUAAAUGCGGAAGAGAUAAGUGCUGAAAGCAUCUAAGCACGAAACUUGCCCCGAGAUGAGUUCUCCCUGAGACUUAGAGUCUCCUGAAGGAACGUUGAAGACGACGACGUUGA